CCAGACUCCUACGGGAGGCAGCAGUGAGGAAUAUUGGUCAAUGGGCGAGAGCCUGAACCAGCCAAGUCGCGUGAGGGAGUACUGCCCUAUGGGUUGUAAACCUCUUUUGUCGGGGAGCAAAAGCCGGACGUGUCCGGCUGUGAGAGUACCCGAAGAAAAAGCAUCGGCUAACUCCGUGCCAGCAGCCGCGGUAAUACGGAGGAUGCGAGCGUUAUCCGGAUUUAUUGGGUUUAAAGGGUGCGUAGGCGGAAGGUUAAGUCAGCGGUCAAAUGUCGGUGCUCAACACCGGCCUGCCGUUGAAACUGGUCUUCUUGAGUGAGCGAGAAGUAUGCGGAAUGCGUGGUGUAGCGGUGAAAUGCAUAGAUAUUAGGAGGAACACCAGUGGCGAAGGCGGCCUGCUGGACGGUGACUGACGCUGAGGCUCGAAAGCGUGGGGAGCAAACAGGAUUAGAUACCCCCGUAA
rnacentral:rRNA from 1 species